GAUGAAUGCUGGCGGCGUGCCUAAUACAUGCAAGUCGAGCGGUAACACUUCGGGUGACGAGCGGCGGACGGCAGAGUAACGCGUAGGAACGUACCCCAAACUGAGGGAUAACGCACCGAAAGGUGUGCUAAUACCGCAUGUGAUCUUCGGAUUAAAGCUUCGGCGGUUUGGGAACGGCCUGCGUAUGAUUAGCUUGUUGGUGAGGUAAUGGCUAACCAAGGCGACGAUCAUUAGCUGGUCUGAGAGGAUGAUCAGCCUGACUGGAACUGAGACACGGUCCAGACUCCUACGGGAGGCAGCAGUAGGGAAUUUUCCACAAUGGGCGAAAGCCUGAUGGAGCAACGCCGCGUGCAGGAUGAAGGCCUUCGGGUUGUAACCUGCUUUUGUCUGUGAAGAUUAUGACGGUAGCAGACGAAUAAGGACCGGCUAACUACGUGCCAGCCGCCGCUGUAA
rnacentral:rRNA from 1 species